rnacentral:lncRNA from 1 species
GUAUCUCUAAAUUCAGCAAAAAUCACUCUCUCUCUCUUUCUCCUCUCUCUCGAAUUUUUUUUUGAAGAGUAGUGAUUUUUGGCCUUUCACUUAAUUUUAGGGGGAGCCGAUUUUUUAUGAAUAUAGUGUUUUACAUAAUUAUCCUCCAUUAAUUAAUCAAUUAGAUUAGGCUUAUAAUUUUAGGGGGAGCCGGUUGCUUUAGUUUUCUAUUUUUUGUUUUCGAAAAUUAUACUUAUAAAUCUUAUAAUAAUUCGAAUUUUAUAUUAUUUUUUAUUGCUGAUUUUUUUAUUUAUUUGUUUCAAAAUAUUAUCAUUUAUUUUUUGGAAUUAAAUUGUUUUUUCGAAAUUAAUAUUUUUUUGAAGAUUAAUUUUUUUUUCGAAAAUUAUGUUUUAAUAUUUAAGUUUUAUCUGUUUCCUUAUUUAUCGUUUUUUUGUUGCCUUAUUUUUCGGUUUUUUAUUUCCUAUAAUUAUAUAAAUCAUAUAUUUCGAAGCUUGUAUGAUUUUUUAUUCCUGAUUUUUUUAUUUAUUUGUUUAAAAAUAUUAUUAUUGAUUUGUUACCAAUAAUUUUGUGUUUCUUGUUAAAAUAAUUCUAGAUUUAUUUCCUGCUAUUAUUUUUUUAGAAAUUAAUACUAUUUUUUUUAAGAUUAAAUUAUGUAUUUUUUUUUUCAAAAUUUAUGUUUUAUUUAUUUGUUUCCACAUAUUUAG